GCUCCGCGGGGCGCCGCGAGUGGUUAAGCGAGCUACAAGGGGAGGGUCUUCCAAAUGUUGCCAGCUGGAAUUUGGGUGCCCCGUGGGAAUCCGGGAGAACCCCACUUCGGACCCAAAAUCCGUCCGCCCCGGGUCGCGCUCGUCUCUGUCUCGAUGAUUUUGUCUUACUCGUACUUCUUUCUCUUCCUUUCUCAGGGAUCCCUUUGGUCCCCUGCUGCCUGUGCUCGCUCUGAAAGCCGGAUUUCCGGGAUGCUCAGUUCGGAGGGGAGAAUUGUGCCGGGAAUUAAAUCCGUCCUUCUCUUAGGCAGUGGCUGAUUGAAAAAAAAAAAAAGGAGGGGCUAAAAAUACACUUGGUGCAGUGACAAGGAACAUUAUUGUUGUUAAAGUCGUCGGCGCUAAUGUUUUCAGGGAGAUAACGUCCUCCAAGCCUAGAACUUCUGAAUGGCUUCCGAGCUUGAAGUUUUGUUACAGCAAAUGAAGAGAGGCAUGGGACGAGGUCUGGCAGAGUUCCCAAAGCAAAUCUUCUGUGUCCCAAAAAGGGAUGUGCUACUGAAUCGGCUUGAUGGCACCCAGCAGCAACGACCUUCGCACGUGCAUUGAUGUCUUCACUAACGAGGAAGCCUGAGGAACUUCCAUAUCCUUUACUGGUGUAAGAGGACAGAAAUAGGAGGUGUACACGGGAUACCUGGAAACCUUGAAUAUCAAGGCAUGCAGCCUGGGGUCAAGAUUUGCCAGAUCUGACCUUACCAGCAUAGAUGGACAAGUCAAAACACAAAGCAAAGAGGCUAUUCUUUCCAGAGUCUACCCUAAAGCCUUAAACUUGCCAUCUGAGCUUACCAGAACUGCCACUCUGCCUUGCCAUCACCUUGAUCUACGUCAAGCAUAUCACUCAUCACUGUGUGAGGAAUUGUUUGGUGGAAAGCAAAAAAUGGAAGAUGGGAAGCCCAGGUAGAUGGUGUGGUGGAGAUGGAGACAAGUGGACCAAAAGAAAUCACUAAAUAACUGAAUGUCAAAGCUAAGGUCAAUUGGUUUAACUUCCUGCCCAUUUCAGCUCUUCGGCAACUGAGCUAGGUGACUGUCUGAUUUUAUCUUUGUACCCUUAGGACUCCCACCCCCACCUCAACCCACAUGCCAUUCUGGCAAGAAAGCAGCCUUUGGCAAAGAAUUUAAUGAAGCCCUUGAAGAGUAAUUUCAAAGUUUCUUCCUGGUCUUUGUGUAGUAACCAAAUUAAUAGAGAAAAUCGAGAAUAUGGAUUAUUCUACAAGGUAAAACUGACUUGGUCUUGUAAAAAAAAAAAAGUCAAUGGCAUUAAAAGAAAAAAAAAAAAGAGACUUGUUUGGUUAUCUAUUGCUGCGUAACAAACUAUCCUCAACUUCAGGCUGUAAUAAAACAACCACUUCAUUGGGCUCAUGGAUUCUGUGAGUCACGAAUUUGGACAGGGCAUGGGAGGAUGGCUUGCCUCUGCCUCACAGUGCCUGAGACCUCAGCUGAGAAGACUUGAAUGGCUGGAGACUGAAAUAGCUGGAGCAGAGGAUACACUUCUAAGAUGGCUUCUUCAUUCAGCAUGUCUGACACCCGGCCUGGGAGGACUGCAAGGCUGGAAUCAGCUGCAGUUGUCAAUCAGAGAUCUACACGUGGCCUCUCCAUGUGGCUUGGGCUUCUCACAGGUUCUUUGAGGAGCAUCCUGAGAGCAAGCAUUACAAGAGAACCAAACUGCAUGGCUUUUUCAGCCCUAGCUUCAGAACUCACACAAGGUAACUUCACCGCAUUUUAUUGAUUACAAGUGUCAAACCAACUUAGAGUCAAGGGGAGGAAAAUUAGACUCCACCUUUUCCUGGAGGAGCUGCAAGGCCUCCUUGUAGAGGAACAAAUGGGUAGGAGGAUAUAGUUGUGGCCAUCUUCCGGAAAUACAAUCCACCAUAGACGGGUCUAGAUUAAAAGAGAUUAAAGAAGCAGAACAGCCAAUGCAGUGCAUGGAUCUUGAUUAGAUUCUGGUUAUGGGGGAAGAAAAGAAUAAUAAAAGGCAGUUACAGAUAAUCGGAAAAAUAUGGUAUAGAUCUUAGGUGAUAAUAAAGAAUUAGUAAUUUUCUUGGGUGAGAAAAUGGUAUGUGGUAAUAUAGUGGAUGUCCCUAUUCUUAGGAGAUGCCAGCUAAAGAAUUUAUGGGUUAAGUGUUAUAAUGUCAACAGUUUAUUUUCAGUCAGUCAGUAAAUAUGGAAAAAUACUUAAUCUAGGUGGUGGUUCAUUUUUUAACUUUUUUGUACAUAGUUUCAUAAUAAAACGUUUAGGGAGUAAGAGGAUUAUUUGGCUAAGCAAUAGGCCUGUGGGCUCAGAGACUUUCCACGUUGGUGGAGGAAGGGAAGGAAGAUAAAGAAAAGCAAACAUGCUGCUGAAUAAUGUCAAGCAGUAAUUCCAGUGACAGAGGCAUCCCUGAAGAUUAUGAAACAGGUUGGAAAAUAUUUUUCUUACCACAUAUCAGCUCGGACUAUUCUUGUUUCUAAGAAAGAAUGUUCAUCCUUAGGAGGGUGACCUUCUGGAUUCACCUUGUGCCUUACCAGGUGCUGAAGACACAAAAGAGGGUAAAAAGACUGCUUCACACAAGGUCAAGAAAAAAAAGCUACAACUACUUACAAAGCUACAACUGCUUCAAGGCACAAGAGUGUGAGAACAGCCAGUCGGUUUCAGCCAUAACCAUAGACUGAGCCAAAAGCAGCCAGACCAGGCCCAGCAGACCCUAUAGAACCACAGCACUGCAAGAUAAGACCAGUGGAUUCCUGGCUGUGAGAAAUGGCCAACCACAUUGAGUCUGACUCAGAUACCAAUGUGGCAUGGAAGGUAGAUGGAUGAUGAUUAAUGUAAAAUCAACAAGAAGUGAGAAGCCCUUCAAAAAAAUAAAAUGGAAUUAGGCACCGUUUGUGGAAACAAAUCAUGUUUCACUAGCACUUGAGAGGGCCCCUCAAAAUGAGGGAGAAUCAUAGAGGUUCAGCAUCUUUGUUGCAGAGCAAGUCUUAGGUCCCUCUCACACCCACCUGAGGAAAGAAUGUGCACGCAGCCUACAAGGGUGGAAAGAGCCUUGGUAGAACAGCAUUCCCCACUCAGGAGUGAAGUCAUCAGGACAGCAAUGCCCAUGUAUAUUCUAGUCGGCUUUUUUUUUUUUUAAAGGCAGUGAGAAGGAAAGAGGGGAGAAAGGGAAGAUGCUAGGGAAGGCUGGGGCCUUCCUCAGUCGUGGUGCGUAAUUGAGCUGCUGAGGUCACUUGAGAGUAAUUCAGGUUAGAAGUUGAAGGCCCCUGGGCUUCGUUGGCUCCCUGAUCCUCUGCCUACCUUGUGGUGAGUUGUAACAAACAUUAGAACCAAAUUAGGCAGAGAAGCACAAUAGGCCCAGCAACCAAGAGAGGAGGAUUAUGUGGCCAAAUUAAGCAGAGGCCUCACUUAAUACUCAGCUCUGGUCUGACUGCCCAGCUUCCCCGCUCUCACCCUCCCCAUCAAAACAGCCCUCCCCUUUAAAGCCCAGAAUGGACUUCUCACUCAAAGGUACCCUUCCGUCUCAGGCAGAAGUGGUUGGCGUUUGUAUAUUUGUGGGUUACAAAGAGAGCCUCAAAAAUUAUUUUUGUGCCUCCCCAAAAGAAUUUUGAAAAAACUAUGUACUCUCUCAUAAAGUGUAUAUUAACAUUCAGACUUUUUAUCAUGAGUUGAAAUAUCUGGUAAGGAAGUAAUUUCUGAUUAUUUUAAAUACUGGUAAUUUACAAUAAAACUGUUACAUCAACCUUUAAAAAAAAAAGUUUCAGUCUGACAUAUUUUUGUCCAGAUAAAUUCCAGCCCACUUUGCUGUGGAAUUGGACUCGAGAGGUGCUACCAGACUGGGUUAUAAUUUGGCCUGUAUUUAUCUCACAAACCUUUGAAUCUGAGCAAGUAUUUGAAUAAGCAUUUAGUUGUAAGGGAGCGUUUGCCAUCCCAUGUAAAUGAGAUGAUUUGUUAUGCUCAUUUUUAAUGGCUGAUUUUACCAGCUAUUGACCUGAACCAUGAAGAGAAGUGUAGGUAUAGCUCUUGUGCAGUAUGAGUACCUGCAGAUGUGUUUGCUGCAGAAAAAUACACCCCCAAGCAGUGAAGUGACUGAACCUACUGGAUGUGGUCGUUCAGUGUUACUUAAGAAUCAGAUGUCCAGUGUCACAUAGCAUAUUUGAGAACUUGCCCUCACAGUAUAUUUUGCUAGAGAAAAACACGUGAUACAUAUACAUUUGCUGAAAUUCAAAAUGCUUGUGGCAUAACAGUGAAAACAGUCUCUCCCGUAUCAACUUUUUUUUGAGUCUGUUCGUACAUUUUUACUAAAUUUAAAACAAGUUCCUCCGUCUUUGAAAAGAUGGAUAGGGAACGGAUAGGAAUCAUUGCCUCUGAGAAGAACAGCUGGUAGCUGGGGACAAGUGUGGGAGGGAAACUUGUAUAUCCUUUUGUAUCUAUUGAAUUUUAAGUCAUGUGAAUGCAUUACAUAUUCAAAUGUAACCUGCAGUUUUAAAAAUGAGAGUUAACUAGUUAAUUAUAUAAUAACUUUUUGAAGAAGACUUUGCUUACAAGAAUUGUAAUAAAAUGUGUUUGGUUUUCAAUCAGUGAAAAACUUCUCUGUUUCCUGAAGAUUUAUCUAAUAUAUCCAAUAACCAUACACUGUAGUAAUAAUGUAAUAGUGACAAGAAACUUACUAUCAAAAAGGUAUAAUGAAGCAAGUUAGCAAGAAGGAGCACAAACAAGAAACCAAGAGUCAGAGAUUACAUUUUUCUCCCAACUUUUCGUUUCGUAAAAUUUUAAACCUUCAGAAAAUUUGAAAGAUUAGUGCAAUAAAUACCCAUAGUAGUACUCUUCAUCUAGAUUUACCAAUUAUAAAAUGUGUUACAAAUGCCACAUAUGCUUUAAUAUUGUAAUCUGUUUUGGCCUUCCACAUGCCUGAAAGGCUGGAAUGCUGUCUGGAACUUUGAUCUUGUUAACAACUUCAUCAGAAUGUGGUACCAGGACUUUGCUCUGUGAAAGCCCGUGACAUUAUUCUCUCAGCAUAAGCUGCUGGUAUGGUAAUCCUCAAAGAUAUUGCAGGUGGUUCCCACUUUUACAACUUGCAUCUGGGCUUUUUUAUGGUAUAUGAAAACCACGAGAACUCAGCAUUAACUGGACUAAUCAUUAACUCUCAUUAGGUGUGUUUUGGGAGGUGCUGUGGAACUGGAGUAAGGGAAGGGAAGAAUUAGAGCUCGUAGGAGGAAGCAAAGCGGUGAACCAGUCCUAGGGAAUGAUGAGGGGAGAGCUAAUGGAGUUAAAUAGGCACAUGAUGUCCUUCCACAGUCUGGAGGAUUUAGAGAAGAAAUUCACAUUAUAGUGGGAUAUAUACAUAACAUCUCAAGACCAGGUGGGGAAAAGGGAGGAAGCUGAAGGGAAAAAAAGAAGCAGUAUGUUAAGUAAAUAGAUUCAGGGUUCAACUGCCAAGCGUAUACCAAAACCAAACCCACUGCCGUCUAGUUGAUUCCCACUCGUGACCCUAUAGGAAAGGAUACUUCCCCAUAGGGUUUCCAAGGAGCAGCUCGUGGAUUUGAACUGCCCAUCUUUUGGUUAGCAGCCAAGCUCUUAACCACCAUGCCACCAGGGCUCCAUAGAGGGGACUAGGACACUAAAAUGAGAUUACUAUUAGAAUAUCCAAGUUAAGAACAUGUUAUAAGGCUAAUAGAACAACUUUAAAGUAAAAGGAGAUGAUACUGACUUUGUGGUUUCAUCUCUUUCUUUUUGCAUGUAAAAGAGGUAGAGUAUAAACUGGAGAACAGAUAUUUCUGUCUACAUGCUUUGCCCAACAAAGUCUCUGAAAAACACGAGAUACUUAAGAGAGGGAAAUGUUUCCACUGGAUGGAGGGAAAGAAUAACUGUUCAGGACCAUUCUGGUCCUGGGGAAUCCUUAAAUAGGAAUAUACCCCAAUAGGCCAGGUCCCUUUUUACAUACACAAAGGAGCUACUCUUAUUCAGGAGCCAAGAGACAAUACCAGAGCUUCUCUCAGUUCUCCCUAACCUGGGUCCCAGAAAGGGCCCAAGAAUAUACCAUUUUUUCUUGAAAACAUUCUUCACACUUGAUCUGUUGAUUUUUACUUGUUAAAUGUAAUCCAUCAAAAGAUGUUUCUAUUUUAUAAAUCAUUUAAGUAUAAAAUUGAAUUUAAUUGUUUUAAUAAUAGCAUAUGCAACACCAAAUUAUAGCUGUAUUCAUCGAUUUCUUAAGAGCGUUUAUAGCUUAAGAUUUUUACAAUAUUUAAUGUUUUAACUUCCAUUGCAGUGUUAUUUAUUUUUGAAUUUUCUUCUCCUCUUAAUCCCACUAUUUAACUUUUUGUUCUCAGUUACUAAGAAUAAUAACCUAAACCUCAAAAUUGGAAACCAUCUCUUCACAUAGUUGCAGUUAAUUAUUCAUCAUGCCUGAAUAUCUUGCAUUUGACUGAACAUGCCCAGUUCUUUUAACAAUUUCUCCUAGGUCUAAUUUCACGAACCUUUAAUCAGUUGCUCUUCUCCUCUGAACACUCUCCAAUUUUUUUUUCUCUUUAUACAGCAUGGCAUGUAAAAUUAAAUGUAGUUUGUUCCAGCUGAAGCCUGCCCAGUGCCAAAUAAAGCAAAAUAAUUGCUUCCCUUCAUUUUCACACGUAUGUCUUAAUACAGUCCAAUAGAGUUGCUGUCUCAUAUUUCAACACAGAGAGGACUCAUCCAACCUAACACCACCCAUAAAUGUUGGAUCUCACUUGGCUUUAUCUGGGGCUCUCUUAAGCUUUUAUUUCUACGUGUUUGUUGCAAUUCAGUGGCAUAUUAAAAGCUAAAUGUUAAAUCCAUAAAAAGGUUUCCUCCACACAUUUUUCUGUCAGAGAUUGUCCCGUUAACAAUUGGUAUAAAUGUGGAUUUAGGGCUUGAGGGUCUCAAAAACUAAGGUUUGAGUGAUUCAGAGUAUUUUUGUGAUGGAAACUGGAAAGAAAGAUUCAGAUGGAGAGAUACCAGGAGAGAUUGCCAAAGACUGGAAGCAGCAGGCUGCCUUUGUUUUCUUCCUGCCUGGUCCUGAAACCCAUCUUCCCAGUGGCCCUCCCUGUCCAGCCCUUCUUCCCAACCAUCUGGGCCUCCCAGUAGGCUAUUUAUUAUAGAAAUUGUAUUCAUUUGCUUUAUAAUGAAAAUAAAUUUAUAAAAGUAUAUUGAUAAGCAUUUUUAUACCAGCACAUGAAGAUCCAACUUGCUUUGGGGGAAACAUGGUAGUCUUCAUAUAACGACUGGAUGGCUUGUGUGUACUUUGAUUUUUGUAACUUGUAAUCUUUUGUUUACCAUGAGGGGUUUUGUGUAACGUGUUUUAAUUUAGAAUUCUUUGGUAGCAAUAGAAACUUUGGGCGCAUUUUUGUAUGGUACAUGUGACAUAUAUAGAAUUAGUACUUUAUUUUUAAAAGCUAAAGCAUUAUGGUAAGAGGAAAGUAGGGUGAGUUUCCAAAAUACCUUUUUAAUAUUAAAAAAUAAAAUUAAAGAUUUGAGAAAAAAAAUAGAAAGAUCUUUGAUUGUAAGCAAUGGAACCCAAUUUCAGCAAAGAGAAUUUAUUGGGAAGAUACCAGGAUUUUGAGAAGGCUGAAGAACCAUGUGUAGAAACUGGCAAACACCAAGGAAGUUCCAGAGAAGAAGAAGAUUAGCAUCCACUCGUCAGGAGUGUUCUUUGGUCCUUCCCUAGUCAUUUCAGAGUUAAACUCUGGCACUGGGUGUUACGCAUUGUGGGGAAUACCAAAACCUGUAAGACGCAACCACUGUCCUUCAGGACAUUGUCGCCUAGGAAGGAACCAAACCAAAAACAAAACACAUUGCCGUCAAGUCAAUUCCGACUCACAGCGACCCUAUAGGACAGAGUAGAACUGCCCCAUAGAGUUUUCAAGGAGCAGCUGGCAGAUUCAAACUGCCGACCCUUUGGUUAGCAGCCGUAGCACUUAACCACUAUGCCACCAGGGUUUCCGCAGGAGGGAAAGAGAUACACAAAUAAUGAAACAUAAAACCAGGUGGCUGCCAGAAAAGUGAAAUGUAUUGAAAGUUGAUUUCCCAAUUAUCCUCUCAUUCACACUCUUUACUCAGAUUCAUGAUAUUUCCAGUUUGGUAAGUGGCAAAAUAAAAAGGACCUGUAACUUUAGAAACACCCUGGGGUUUACAAAAGUGCCCUUAGUAUUUAUGUUUUACUCUUACUCCAGAAAAUUCUUGCUUUCAGAGGAUAACGUAUCUACAUAAUUUUCUUGGACACCCUAUAACACUCAAAAGCCAGCUAGUUGUCUUAACUUUGUUUAGUAAUGGCUUUGAAUGCGUGGAUAUUGUAUUUGGAAUGAAGCACUUGAAUUCACUCAUUCAUUCAGGAAAUACUUACCGAGUACCUAUGUGCCAGGCGGUAUGGGGGUAAACUGCCCCUGUCCUCGUCGAACAGUCAACAAAUUAACAAACAUCUAAUUCAUGCUUUGAGCUCAUUUCCCCAAAAAUGACAUCCUGACUUCAUUAAGUGAGAUUCUAAUUUGAGGAACUGCUACUUUAAAAAAAAAAAAAACUUUCAAUAGCACAGAUCAUUUGAGAGGAAGAGGAAUCAGUGAUGUAUUUUCUCUUUAACCAUUAAUCUGUAAAAGGGAGACAGGGAAUUAUGAGGAUAAAGAUAAAAGGUGCUACAGACUUCUUGCCGGAUUUCAGAUUGAGUCUCUCGUUCUAACUGAUGCCAUUUACGCUCCUUAUUUAUAGAUCUGUCCCUAGACCUUCCCCAGCAUGUUACACUUUAGGACUAUAGACUGAGCUACAUUUGAAUGUAUUUUAUGGCAUUUGGAAGCCCUCCAGUGGCCAAAUACUAUACCUGAAAAAAAAAAAAAAACCCUUUU